CUCCCCACCGUGAGUCACUCGGGUGCUGCCUGAGUUAUCAGAUCAACCAUCACAGUAUCCACAGCGCUGUGUUCAAGGAACUCUUAUUUUACAUGGUUAUAACCCCCAACCACAAGAGGAGUGAUGCUGACAAUUCGGAUCUGCCUAAGAAAAGCCAUAAAGUCCUUCCUUUAAGUGAAAAGUGAAAGUUCUCGACUUAAUAAGGAAGGAAAAAAAUAACUUCAUGCUGAGGUUGCUAAGAUCUAUGAUAAGAAGGAAUCUUCUAUCUGUGAAAUUGUGAAGAAGGAAAAAGAAAUUUGUGCUAGUUUUGCUGCUGCAAAAGCUACUGCCACAGUGCACGGAAAUGCCUCUUGAAUGGGAGAAGCUGCUGCUCCCCCAAAUUGCUGGGGAAGAAAGGGAGUUCCUGAUCUUUCUUAUUGAGGCUCAUGGAGCUUCUGUCCUGGAGAUUCAGUAUACUUCAGUAAUGGCUCUGGAGAAGAGAACUCAGGAUCCUCAAGACCCAAUGGCUCGUGAUGAUAAAAGCCUUUGGGUCUACCGACAUUUUCCCUACGUGCUCAGACAUGUCUGCAUGCAUUUAUUGGCAUAUUUUUCCAUACUCAAAGCAAGUUGCUAUGUGUUAGUACUAAAGCAACCCAUAAUAGUAAAAACGAAUUUCUGCACCAAGAGAAUGAAUCGGCAGCUGAGAAAGUCAGAGUGAAGAGGCCCCAGUAAUAUCUCUACCUACUUGAAGGUUAAAUAUUCCUAAGACUCUAGGAGGAAAGAGGAGAGAAAGUGGGCCCUGUUCUUUCCUCCAGGAUGUAAGGUUUUUCCAGGCUGCUUUGAAAAGUCUCAAUUACUCCAGGCUAUAGAAGAAUACAAUCAGAGGUGAGUUCCCUGAAAUCAAGGACACUGCCUUAUCUAAUGGUGCUGGGAGUGCAGCGAACUUGCUGGGGACAGUUUGAAGGAUCAUCUUAAGCUCUGAAACCAGGUUGCUGCCACCUGCUACAGAUCACCCACAGCCAAUGUCCUUGGCUGAGUGACACAGCUUCCCCGUGACCGCCACUGAUCCAGCCACCAAGUAUGCAGCCCAACCUAUGAAGCUGAGCCCAGAAGUGGCUCAAAAAAACAAGCCACAACCCAGAACUGAAUCACAACAGCCUUUUCCUUUAACACUAUACUUGCUCUAUUUAACCUCCGCCAUGGCCAAUUCAAUAGAUUCACAGAAAAUAUCAGCAGGACGCCUUGGUUCUCAACACCAAGUCUGGAAAGCUGGGUUUACACGCCCCACCUGAGCAAGCCUGAUCGGUGAUUGUGUUGGGCUCAUUCCUCACUUGGCCCCUUCAAGCAGAGAUAGGCCCUGCAAGAACUCUCUCUAGGAAUUGUUUUCUCAAUAUUUUAAAAUCCACUUUUCCUAUAUCCUAUCAAUGGGCACGGAGUGAGAGUGAUACAGGCAUGUGGAAUUUCACAAGGCUAGAUGUGCCAGCUUCAAGACUACUGAGCUUUAGGUAUACACUUGUUAUGGUUUGGAUUUGUGUCCCCACCUAAAUCUCAUGUCGAAUCGUAAUCUCCAAAGUUGGAGAAGGGCCCUGGUGGGAGAUGAUUGGAUCAGGGGGGCAGAUUUCCCCUUUCCUGUUCUCAUGAUAGUGAGUGAGUUCUCAUGAGAUCCGGUUGUUUAAAAGGGUGUAGCACCUCCCCCUUCUCUCUCUUCCCCCUGCUCUGGCCAUGUAAGACGUGCCUGCUUCCCCUUCACCUUCCACCAUGAUUGUAAGUUUCCUGAGGCCUCCCCAGCCAUGCUUCCUGUAUAGCCUACAAUAGAGUAAGCCAAUUCAACCUCUUUUAUUUAUAAAUUACCCAGUCUCAGGUAUUUCUUUAUAACAGUGCAAGAAUGGACUAAUACAACAACACCGAAACACACAUGCCAGCCAGUAUUCACCCUGUCCUGUCCUCAACAUGGUGACCUACCAGUAUCACUCCUUCCAAGCCCAUUUCCAUUGCUCCUUCAUGUUCUUCUUUGCCUCUUGAGUAAACAAGUCAAAUCUAUCCAUUCAUAUCCCCACGUAUUCACUUGCUUAUCCAACAUUUUCUGAGCACCUUCUCUGUCCAAGCCACUGGCCAGGUGCUAUGGGGGUUGGGGGGCUCAGAGAUGACUCUCAGAGCAGGAGAGAGCCCUGCUAACUCAUCUCCCUCCCCAUCUGCUCCCUGCAUAACCAGCAUUUUGGAAGCUCAGACCUCGCUACACCCUUAGCCCUAGCCACAAUGACCUGGAUGAACCAAAAUCAAAUUCUUCAAUAGGGAAAGAUUUAGAGACCUUGUCCUCUUAGAGAAGGUAAAAGCAAUGUUCCUAAAAUCAACAGUAUGGUGUUUCAGUUAGAAAAAUAAAAGUUCAGGUUAGCCAAAUAUUGCUGGGUACCAGGAAAUCUGUGCAGGCAGAGAAAUUGUCUGCCGUGCCUGUGCCAAGAUAAUCUUCUGUCCAAUCUUCUGGGAGGUCAGGGCGGGCCAAUGCACUGACUCACCAGGGAGGGCUUUCUAAGAAAGAAGGCUGGCCAGGAAUCUUCUAGGGGGAAAUAUGCUGUUUUUAUUGUGUCUGGUCUCCCCAGCUCCCUCCUAAAUCUGUUGAAUGAGGGAGUUCAUCUGCUGGGUGUUUGAGAGCUCAAACUGUCCAACAUUGUAGUAAACAUCAGGCAAAGGGCAGUAAACAGAGGCUCCCUGUCCCAGCUGGGAGGAGCCCAGAUAUUGAUGAGCACAGCGGACAGCCACAGACACACAGAAACACAAAAACAAGUGCCAGGAGCAGUGGCUCACGCCUGUAAUCCCAGCACUUUGGGAGGCCAAGGCGGGCAGAUCACCUGAGGUCAGGAGUUCGAAACCAGCCUGACCCACAUGGUGAAACCCCGUCUUUACUAAAACUACAAAAAAUAGCCGGGCGUGGUAGCUGGUGCCUGUAAUCCCAGCUACUCGAGAGGCUGAGGCAAGAGAAUCACUUGAACCUGGGAGGCAGAGGUUGCAGUAAGCUGAGAUCACACCACUGCACUCCAGCCUGGGCGACAACAGCAAAACUCUGUCUCAAACAAACAAACAACAGCAACAACAACAACAACAACAAAAAACCAAGCAAACACAUGCAGGGCUGCCCAUAACCUCUGGAAAGAAAGAACUCUCCUGGUCAGGAAUCUCCUCUUGGGCAUGAGUGUGAAAAUAAGGACUCUUGAAUUUGCUUGCCACAUCAGAGGCAGCAUUGCAGGGAGGCCUUUACUUCAGAGGCAGCAUUGCAGGGAGGCCUUUACAUACGUAUGUCAUCCAGCCUCAUGGCAAAAUAGAUAAUAGAUUGUAUUACCCUCAUUUUCUCCAGGGGAAACCUGAGGCUCAGAGGUCAUCUUGCCUACAGUGACUAUUUGCAGGACUGAGGUUGGUAUACAGGUCUGUCUGACUUCUCCUUGUAGGCUUUCCCAGAAAUCAAAGCCUCACACGACCCCCUCCUCUAAGGCAUGACAGAACCCAGUUGUCUGUUCAGGCAGGGGGAAGGAGGGGGUGGCCCACCUGGGGGAUUUCAGGGGUGCUGCCACCUGGAAAGUAACCCUCAGGAGCUCACCAGCAGUGCCUGGAACUCAGACCAAAAUCACUCUCUUGGGUGUUUAAAUUGUAAAUAUGUUUACCUGUAUUCAAUCUCACCCUGUUUAUUGUUUGCUUCUCCUCAGUCCACAAAGCAUUCAACACUCACCAUUCUAAAAAUAAUAAAACUGGGCUGGGUGCAGUGGCUCAUGCCUGUAAUCCCAGCACUUUGGGAGGCUGAGGCAGGUGGAUCUCCUAAGGUCAGGCGUUCGAGACCAGCCUGUCCAACAUAAAGAAACCCUAUCUCUACUGAAAAUACAAAAUUAGCCGGGCGUGGUGACACAUGCCUGUAAUCCCACCUACUGGGGAGGCUGAGGCAAGAGAAUUGCUUGAACCCAGGAGGCAGAGGUUGCAGUGAGUCGAGAUCCCGCCAUUGCAUUCCAGGCUAGGCAACAAGAGUGAAACUCUGUCUCAAAAAACAUAAAUAAAUAAUAAAUAAUAAUAAUAAAACUGGCUAGGCAUGAUGGCUUAUGCCUGUAAUCUCAGAAUUUUGGGAGGCUGAGGCAGGAAGAUUGCUUGAGCCCAGGAGUUCAAGACUAGCCUGGAAAACAUAGCAAGAUCCCACCUCUACAAAAAUAAAUAAAAAUAAAUAAAUUAGCUGGGUGUGGUUUUGUGCGCCUGUAGUCCCAGCUACUGGGGAGGCUGAGGUGGGAAGAUCGCCUGAGUCCAGGAGUUCGAGGCAGCAGUGAGCUGUGAUUGCACCACUGCUCUCCAACCUGGGCAACAGAGCACAACCAUGUCUCUUAAAUAAUAAUGACAAUAAUAAAACCAAAAACUUUUCACACCUCUGCCUGCCCCUCUAUUUAUAUUUACAAUCUUACCUUUGAUGUUCCAACUCUUUGGAAAAGUGGGAUCACAGCACCACUGCAUUUUCUUAUCCUCCUAUAACAAGUUCUGGAGUUGCUAAAACAACGUAUUCCUAAGGUGCCUAGUAGGUGACUUCUAAUUGUCACCUGUAAUGGUAUCUUUCAGUCUUCUGCUUACAUAACUGUUCUGUGGCAUUCAGUAUCUACAGGCCACCAUUUCCUUGAACAGUCUUCUUUCUCACCUUCUGACAAAUUCGUUUGUUCUUAUUUAUUUAUAGCAUUUUGAUGAUUCCCCAUCUUCUUUACCUGCAUGCUAGACUGAUCUCCAAUUUGCAAUCCAUCCCUUCUUCUGUUUCUCCCUCUUUACCUCCCUCUCAGCCAAAGAUCUCUCUUUAGAAACCAUCACCCAAGGUAGAGGAAUGAAUCUCUAUGCUUUGACACCUCCUUCUAUUCCUCUUUUCCUCACUCUCCACAUUCAUUCCUACAAAGUCUUUUUUUGUUUUUGUUUUUGUUUUUGAGACAGAGUCUCACUCUGUUGCCCAGGCUGGAGUGCAGUGGCAUGAUCUUGGCUCACUGCAACCUCCACCUCCAGGGUUCAAGCGAUUCUCGUGCCUCAGCCUCCCAAGUAGCUGGGACUACAGGAACCCGCCACUACGCUUAGCUAAUUUUUGUAUUUUUAGUAGAGAUGGGGUUUCCCCAUGUGAGUCAGGCUGGUCUGGAACUCCUGACCUCAAGUGAUUCACCCAUCUUGGCCUCCCAAAGUGCUGGGAUUACAGGCAUGAGCCACUGAGCCCAGCCACAAAGUCUUAUAAAUUCUGCCUUUUAAAAUUCAUCCUGCCGCCUCCAUUAGAUCUGCUCAUGCCCCCUUUUAGGUCACUUUUAAGUAGAAGGCUCCUAGCUGGUCUUCCUGCUCACAAUAUUUCCCCAACCUCCACAUGGCUGUCAAAGAGAUGUUUUAGAAGAACAAAUACAGCAAAUACAGCCACGUUAAGACAUAAAUGCAAGUCUGUCUGACUCCUCCUUACUUACUGUAAGUUCAGGUCUGAAUGCUUCCUGGCUAGUGUGUAAG
rnacentral:lncRNA from 1 species